rnacentral:rRNA from 1 species
CCGAAGUUUCCCUCAGGAUAGCUGGUGCAUUUUAAUAUUAUGUUAAAUAAUCUUAUCUGGUAAAGCGAAUGAUUAGAGGCCUUAGGGUCGAAACGACCUUAACCUAUUCUCAAACUUUAAAUGGGUAAGAACCUCACCUUUCUUGAUAUGAAGGUAGAGGUUAUGAUAUAAUGUGCCCAGUGGGCCACUUUUGGUAAGCAGAACUGGCGCUGUGGGAUGAACCAAACGUAAUGUUACGGUGCCUAAAUUAACAACUCAUGCAGAUACCAUGAAAGGCGUUGGUUGCUUAAAACAGCAGGACGGUGGACAUGGAAGUCGUAAUCCGCUAAGGAGUGUGUAACAACUCACCUGCCGAAGCAACUAGCCCUUAAAAUGGAUGGCGCUUAAGUUGUAUACCUAUACAUUACCGCUAAAGUACAUGAUUUAUAAUAUAAUUUCGAUUGUAUUAUAAAUUUUGAAACUUUAGUGAGUAGGAGGGUACAAUGGUGUGCUUAGAAGUGUUUGGCGUAAGCCUGCAUGGAGCCGCCAUUGGUACAGAUCUUGGUGGUAGUAGCAAAUAAUCGAAUGAGACCUUGGAGGACUGAAGUGGAGAAGGGUUUCGUGUGAACAGUGGUUGAUCACGAGUUAGUCGGUCCUAAGUUCAAGGCGAAAGCCGNAAAUUUUCAAGUUUUAAUGAA